rnacentral:rRNA from 1 species
AAAGGUACAUAAGGGCACUGAUAGUGGAUGCCUUGACAAUCAAUACCGAUGAAGGACGUAGAACUCUGCGAUAAGUCUCGGGGAGCUGAGAACAAGCUUUGAUCCGGGAAUCUCCGAAUGGGAAAACCUAACUUGGGUCAUGCCAAGUUGCUCUUAUCUGAACACAUAGGAUAAGUAGACGGGAACCAGCCGAACUGAAUCAUCUUAGUAGGUUGAGGAAAAGAAAGUAACCAACGAUUCCGAAAGUAGUGGCGAGCGAAAUUGGAAUAGUCUAAACCUCAAGAUAACCUUACGGGUUUACGCCCAGAGUUAUUAGGGGUGUUGCGUGUUUACAUAAUUUUCAUGUUGAGCGGUUGAUUAUUCGACGGUUCGACAUGAAAACCGACAGCGUAAACUGAGCGGGUAAGAUUCAUAGUUGUUAGCAGAAGCGUUUGAAUGGCGCGCCAGAGACGGUGAAAGCCCAGUAUGCGAAAACAACUUUUAUGAACUUAUAUAUGUUUUCACAAGUAGGACGGGGCACGAGAAACCCUGUUUGAAUCCGGCAGGACCACCUGCCAAGACUAAAUAUAUUGAUUGAUCGAUAGCGAACUAGUACAGUGAUGGAAAGGUGAAAAGAACCCCGGGAGGGGAGUGAAAUAGAUCCUGAAACUCAGUGCCUACAAGGUGUCGGAGCCCGCAAGGGUGACGGCGUGCUUUUUGUAGAACGAUCCAGCGAGUUAAUUUUGUAGGCGAGGCUAAGUCAGUUGAUGGAGCCACAGUGAAAGCGAGGGUUAAUAGCCCGUCAAGUCUGCAGGAUUAGACCCGAAACCGGGUGACCUAACCAUGAGCAGGUUGAAGAUGCGGUAAAGCGCAUUGGAGGACCGAACCAGGGUACGCAGUAAAGUGCUUGGAUGACUUGUGGUUAGCGGUGAAAUGCCAAUCGAACUCGGAGAUAGCUGGUUCUCCUCGAAAUAGCUUUGGGGCUAGCGUUGUGUAAGUAGCAUACGGGGGUAGAGCUCUGAAAAGGACUGGGGCCGGCAACGGUACCCACCCUUAUCAAACUACGAAUACCGUAUGUGUAAUCACGGCAGUCAGAACGGCGGGGCUAAGCUCGUCGCUCAAAAGGGAAACAGCCCAGACCAUCGUCUAAGGUCCCUAAUUAAUACUAAGUGGGAAACAAGGUGAGAUUUCUUAAACAGCUAGGAUGUUGGCUUAGAAGCAGCCAUUCAUUUAAAGAGUGCGUAACAGCUCACUAGUCAAGAGGUUUUGCGUGGAAAAUGUAACGGGGCUCAAGUAUUAAACCGAAGACAUGGAUGUCAAAUUGCUAUUCUGCGUACAGAUGCUUAUCGAUAGAUUAAGAUAAGUGGCGCGUACAUAAGCGUGCUAGAUCUGUGCGAAGAUUAGCAAUUUGGCGUGGUAGAGGAGCGUUGAUAUCUGCGGUGAAGUCAGAUUGUAAAGUCUGGUGGAGCGUUAUCAAGUGAGAAUGCUGGAAUCAGUAACCAUAAGACAGGUGAGAAUCCUGUCGGUCGUAAGAGCAAGGUUUCCAGGGCCACUGUAAUAGUCCCUGGGUUAGUCGGUCCUAAGCCGAGGCGUAUUAGCGUAGGCGAUGGACAUCAGGUUAAUAUUCCUGAACAGGUAGUAGUUGUUAGCAGUUCACGGGGAUCAUCCUAGAGCGGAUUAUUAUGGUAUACAUCCGUCCAACAAUCUUGGGAACAAGAAAGGAGUGAAAUUUACCUUUAGAGGUGAAGAUUCUAGGGCAGGCUCUGGCUAGAAAAGCUGACUAACUUAGGCUGCUGCCUACCGUACCGCAAACCAACACAGGUGCUCGGGUCGAGUAGACUAAGACUUACGAGGGAACCUUCGCUAAGGAACUCGGCAAAAAAGCGUCCGUAACUUCGGAAUAAGGACUGCCCUCUCAUUAAGAUGAGGAUUUGCCAAGCAAACUUUGAUGCGAAAAUUUCAAUUUGUAUCUUUUGAUAAAUUAUCGAAAUUUCUUUGUCGAAGACAGAACACACAAUAUGUUCUUUUGCUUGACAGCUCAAUCGUCAUUUUGAUGAGAGGGCCGCAGCUAAAGAGCCCACGGAACUGUUUACCAAAAACACAGGUCUCUGCUAACGCGAAAGCGGAUGUAUAGGGGCUGACUCCUGCCCGGUGCCGGAAGGUUAAGGGGAGAGCUUCACGGUUCAAACUGAAGCCCCGGUGAACGGCGGCGAUAACUAUGAUCGUCCUAAGGUAGCGAAAUUCCUUGUCUGGUAAGUUCAGACCCGCACGAAUGGAGUAAUCAUGUGGGCACUGUCUCGGCGAAGGCCUCGGUGAACGUGCAUUGACGGUAAAGAUGCCGCCUGAUCAUGCCAGGACGAGAAGACCCCAUGGAGCUUUACUACAACUUUGCAUUGAUUGUUGGGAUAUUUUGUGUAGCAUAGGUGGAAGACUUUGAAGCAGAUACGCUAGUAUUUGUGGAGUCGCAAGGUGAAAUACCACCCUGAGUAUUUUAGCAAUCUCACUUUUGACCUGAUCGGCCAAAAGGACCGUGCAUGGCGGGUAGUUUAACUGGGGCGGUUGCCUCCUAAAGAGUACCGGAGGCGUUCAAAGGUUGGCUAGCUACGGAUGGAAAUCGUAGCGAUAGUGUAUGCGCAAAAGCCAGCUUGACUGUGAGGACUACAAUCCAAACAGACACGAAAGUGGGAGCAAAUGACCCGCUGUACAGAAGUUUCACUUCGAUUUACGUGGGAAAGACAGCGCACACGGAUAAAAGUUACCCUGGGGAUAACAGGCUGAUCGCGCCCAAUAGUUCACAUAGACGGCGCGGUUUGGCACCUCGAUGUCGGCUCAUCACAUCCUGGAGGGGGAGCACCUUCCAAGGGUCCGGCUGUUCGCCGGUUAAAGUGGUACGCGAGCUGGGUUCAGAACGUCGUGAGACAGUUCGGUUUAUAUCCGGCAUGAUCGUUAGGAAUUUUGAGGAGAGCUGUCUCUAGUACGAGAGGACCGAGAUGGACGAACCUCUAGUGUAUCGGUUGUGGCCACCUGCUGCAUCGCCGAGUAGCUAUGUUCGGAAGAGAUAAGCGCUGAAAGCAUAUUAAGCGCGAAGCCCACUCCAAGAUAAGAAUUCCCUAUGACCCCACAGAAAGAUGAUCUGUUUGAUAGGCGCAAGAUGGAAGUAUGGCAACAUAUGGAGUCAAAGCGUACUAACAGGGGCAUUGCCUUUUUAUG